CCCUUUUAUAUACAGACCCCAUUAUUACCCGAGUCAUAUGAUCUGAUACAGACCCCAUUAAUACCUGAGUCACAUGAUCUGAUACAGACCCCAUUAAUACCUGAGUCACAUGAUCUGAUACAGACCCCAUUAAUACCUGAGUCACAUGAUCUGAUACAGACCCCAUUAAUACCUGAGUCACAGGAUCUGAUACUGACCCCAUUAAUACCUGAGUCACAGGAUCUGAUACUGACCCCAUUAAUGCCUGAGUCACAUGAUCUGAUACAAACCCCAUUAAUGCCCGAGUCACGUUGUAUAAUGAUUGGAGACAGGCACAGGAAUAAUAUAUUUAUUUAUUUCACUACCCAAAAUAGACUAUAACAGGGCUGUUAGGUGUAGGUAAUCAGACUAUAACAGGGCUGUUAGAUGAUAGGUGUAGGUAAUCAGACUAUAACAGGGCUGUUAGAUGUUAGGUGUAGGUAAUCAGACUAUAACAGGGCUGUUAGAUGAUAGGUGUAGGUAAUCAGACUAUAACAGGGCUGUUAGAUGUUAGGUGUAGGUAAUCAGACCGUCAUUUACUGUUGGAUUUAAAGAGACACCGCUUUAAUCUUCAAUAAUUUAUUACGUUUUAAGAAUUCUGAAGAAUUAUUCUCAGGAGAAGACAUUUUUUCCAAAUCUUGUAUUUUGUUGAUUUUUCAUCUGGCACUCCAGGCCUGCUAUGAAUCUAACGCACCUUGAUAUGACACUCCUUUUAGCAUAUGGUAGUGGCAGAUUAGAGGUGAUGCGUCUUAU
rnacentral:lncRNA from 1 species